GGAGAAGUACCCAAGUGGCUAUAAGGGGCUUCCCUGCUAAGGAAGUAGAUCGCUUUAGCGGUGCAAGGGUUCGAAUCCCUUCUUCUCCGCCA
rnacentral:tRNA from 1 species